rnacentral:rRNA from 1 species
AGUCUGCAACUCGACUGCAUGAAGUCGGAAUCGCUAGUAAUCGCAGAUCAGCAAAGCUGCGGUGAAUACGUUCCCGGGCCCUUGUACACACCGCCCGUCACACCACGGGAGUCGGUCGCGCCUGAAGCCGGGUGGCCCAUCAGUAAUGGGGGAGCCGUCUAUGGCGAGAUUGGUAACUGGGGUGAAGUCGUAACAAGGUAGC